GUACACACCGCCCGUCACACCAUGGGAGUCGGUAACACCCGAAGCCUGUAGUCUAACCGCAAGGAGGACGCAGUCGAAGGUGGGAUUGAUGACUGGGGUGAAGUCGUAACAAGGUAGC
rnacentral:rRNA from 1 species